rnacentral:lncRNA from 1 species
AAUGAUUUAGCUUUGUGAAUAUGGGGACAGUGAUAGCCCAAUUUCUUUGAUAAAUUAUUUCAUUUCAGAAGACUGGCAUGUGCUAAGUACUAGGAAAAAAGACAGACCAGGUGAGGAGAUGAAUGGAGUGAGAAGACAGCCCAGUGGAAUGAGAAACUAAUGAGGACCUAAAUGCCUGUGAUGGAGGUGAGGACAAAGGGGUAUCUUUAACAACACCAGGAGAGAGAAAACUGGAUGGACAAUAAUGCAGGGUGGCUUUUGUAUUGAGCUUGCUUGUGCCUAUGAACCAUGAUGAAUGACAAAUGCAAUUGCAUGCUGAAAACCGGGUUGAGUGAUCCAGGCUCAUUUAUGUGUCUGAACACCUAUAAUUACAGGACUUUAGAAAACACAGGAAAUGGAGAAACAUAGACAACCUACAAGCAAGUAAAGAGACAAUUCCAGAAUGUUAAAAUCUAUACGGGAAUGACAGUGUCUGCAAGCCAUUGAUAUUAAAAAAUAUCCUUUGCAUGGUGAAGCCAAAUGUGGACCAGACAUGAGCAGAUAUUACUGGAUCUUGGACAAGUGGGUCUCUAAGCUGCGUGGCCUUAGGUGACUUACUUCAGAGUUGUGCUUCUGCAAAAGAAGAAAAAUAAUAACAACUGGAUUGUUGUGAGCAGACAAGCAUGUUUGGCCCAUGUGCACAGCAAAUGCAUCAGAAAGCUGAUGUACCUGAAACCCAUAACUCAUACACGUUAGUGAAGAAAUGAAGAAAUAGCAGCUUCCUCACCCUGCACCAUCUCCCUGAGUUCCAGCAGGAUCCUCAACAGUUGCCCACAAUGAGAACUUGCUUGAUUACACACUCAUUAUUGGAUUUAGUCCCUUCCCUGUCUCACUUUGCUGCUUCUCUGUUGGUGCCUCCUGGGAUUAUCCCCGAAGUAAAUCAUACACACUACAGUCCUUAUCACAGGGCCUGCUUCUGGGAGAACCUACUGAAGACAAAACCCGCCGGCAUAGUCCAUGUGGGUCAGCCUCCCAUGGCAGAGAACAAGUGAAGAGAGGGUGCCUGGUCUGCUUCACACACUUCAGCUAGUAGGGAACAUCAAAGACCCUGAGAAGCCAAAAGUUAUGAAAUGCAUCAGCAGUGGGUUGAAGACAAGACCUCUCCUUUUCCUGCUGACAUUUCUUCCAUGAGCAGUACCCAGACAGCCGACAGAAAGAGCCCAGGAGAUCAAUGGUGGUGUUGGAUCAAAAUUGUAGCUCACAAGGAAAAUCCUGUAAAGGAACCAUAUUUUUCUGUGUUGCCUGCCAAAAUGAGAACAUCAUUUGUUAAAUAAUGUGGGACACAGGUGCCCCGGAUGUACUAUUUAAUGGAGAAAGAAAAAGAGAGAAACAAUGGCUGCCAGUAUCCGGGAAAAAUGCGACUAGCUUCUUAAGCUUCUUCACCCAGAAAUUGUUACAAAUAGAAGGGAAUCUGACUUUGAGCUAUGAGUUGUUGCUUCCCCAUGACUGAAUUCCCCAAGAACUGAGUUAUUACUGACCUGUGAUUUGCUCAUCGACAGACAGAGGAAAAAGGGUGAUAACUCCAGAGCACGUCAUUUUUAUUCUCCAUAUCUCAGAAAAUAGACUCCAAAACAGAGGAAUUAUUUUUCCACUUUACUGAGGAAUAUAAUGAUU